rnacentral:rRNA from 1 species
CAGCCGCCGCGGUAAUACGGAGGGUGCAAGCGUUAAUCGGAAUUACUGGGCGUAAAGCGCACGCAGGCGGUCUGUCAAGUCAGAUGUGAAAUCCCCGGGCUUAACCUGGGAACUGCAUUUGAAACUGGCAGGCUAGAGUCUUGUAGAGGGGGGUAGAAUUCCAGGUGUAGCGGUGAAAUGCGUAGAGAUCUGGAGGAAUACCGGUGGCGAAGGCGGCCCCCUGGACAAAGACUGACGCUCAGGUGCGAAAGCGUGGGGAGCAAACAGGAUUAGAGACCCCUGUAGUCCCUGUCUCUUAUAC